rnacentral:lncRNA from 1 species
AUCGGCUCUCCACGUAGUUUGCUAUUAAGAUGGUGCCGACUUCUCGUAUAAACUACUCGGGGUUACUAUAGGACUAAAAGUUCAAGGAAUUGGUAUAAUAGGUACUUAGACUGAUCUAACAUGCUGAGGUUGUUAGAGUGUUGGGGUGGUAAUAAUUUUGUCUUAAUUUCACUCAAGUUUUAUAAAAUAAGCAACCUUUAUACUUAUUGAGUGUGUUGAAUUUUGUUAUGGCUCAAGAAAAU